AUUGAACGCUGGCGGCAGGCCUAACACAUGCAAGUCGAACGGUAACAGGAAACAGCUUGCUGUUUCGCUGACGAGUGGCGGACGGGUGAGUAAUGUCUGGGAAACUGCCUGAUGGAGGGGGAUAACUACUGGAAACGGUAGCUAAUACCGCAUAACGUCGCAAGACCAAAGAGGGGGACCUUCGGGCCUCUUGCCAUCGGAUGUGCCCAGAUGGGAUUAGCUAGUAGGUGGGGUAACGGCUCACCUAGGCGACGAUCCCUAGCUGGUCUGAGAGGAUGACCAGCCACACUGGAACUGAGACACGGUCCAGACUCUUACGGGAGGCAGCAGUGGGGAAUAUUGCACAAUGGGCGCAAGCCUGAUGCAGCCAUGCCGCGUGUAUGAAGAAGGCCUUCGGGUUGUAAAGUACUUUCAGCGGGGAUGAAGGGAGUAAAGUUAAUACCUUUGCUCAUUGACGUUACCCGCAGAAGAAGCACCGGCUAACUCCGUG
rnacentral:rRNA from 1 species